rnacentral:lncRNA from 1 species
GGCUUUGUGGAGGGAAGAAAGCCCUCCAGCCGCGGAACAGGAUGGGCAAGCAGGGUCCAGUGAAAGGGCACUGGACGUGGGUCGGGCGUGCCCCUGGCAAAGCCGAAGCCGUCUGUCUGUCCCCAGUGAUUGAGAACAGAGGAGGAAUUCCUAUCAGGGCCUUUGUGUAACAGCAGCGACUACGGCUGCCAUUAAACAACUUUGACUUCCUCUCCGAGUAGCCGAGAAACUGUCUUUCCUCAACCGAAAUGUCAAAUGAACACCGUCCUUAAAU